rnacentral:rRNA from 1 species
CCUGCCCACUGAAAUAUUUUAAAUGGCCGCAGUAAUUUGACUGUGCAAAGGUAGCAUAAUCAUUAGUUUUUUAAUUAAAAGCUUGUAUGAAGGGUUGGACGAAAUAAAAUCUGUCUUUAUUUAAAUAAUAUUAGAAUUUAAUUUUUGAGUUAAAAAGCUUAAAUAUAUAUAAAAGACGAGAAGACCCUAUAGAUCUUUAUAUUAUAUAAAAUAAUUUUAAUUAAGAAUAUUUAAUUUUUUAUUUUAUUUAAUAUUUUAUUGGGGUAAUAAAAAGAUUUAGUUAAUUCUUUUUAAUAUUUUACAUUAAUUAAUGAUUUUAUGAUCCAAAUUUUUUGAUUAUAAGAUUAAGUUACCUUAGGGAUAACAGCGUAAUUUUUUUAGAGAGUUCAUAUCGAUAAAAAAGUUUGCGACCUCGAUGUUGGAUUAAAAAUUGUUUUAGGCGUAGGAGUUUAAAAAUUUGGUCUGUUCGACCAUUAAAUUUUUACAUGAUCUGAGUUCAGACCGGUGUAAGCCAGGUUGGUUUCUAUCUUUAUUUGUUUUUAAUAUUUUAGUACGAAAGGACCAAAUAUUUAAUAUAUUAAUAUUUUUUUAUUUGAAUAUUAUUAAU